rnacentral:rRNA from 1 species
UAAUACGGAGGGUGCAAGCGUUAAUCGGAAUUACUGGGCGUAAAGCGCACGCAGGCGGUUUGUUAAGUCAGAUGUGAAAUCCCCGGGCUCAACCUGGGAACUGCAUUUGAAACUGGCAAGCUAGAGUCUCGUAGAGGGGGUAGGAAUUCCAGGUGUAGCGGUGAAAUGCGUAGAGAUCUGGAGGAAUACCGGUGGCGAAGGCGGCCCCCUGGACGAAGACUGACGCUCAGGUGCGAAAGCGUGGGGAGCAAACAGGAUUAGAUACCCUGGUAGUCCACGCUGUAAACGAUGUCGAUUUGGAGGUUGUGCCCUUGAGGCGUGGCUUCCGGAGCUAACGCGUUAAAUCGACCGCCUGGGGAGUACGGCCGCAAGGUUA